rnacentral:rRNA from 1 species
GUGUCAGCAGCCGCGGUAAUACGGAGGGGGUUAGCGUUGUUCGGAAUUACUGGGCGUAAAGCGCGCGUAGGCGGAUUGGAAAGUUGGGGGUGAAAUCCCGGGGCUCAACCUCGGAACGGCCUCCAAAACUCCCAGUCUUGAGUUCGAGAGAGGUGAGUGGAAUUCCGAGUGUAGAGGUGAAAUUCGUAGAUAUUCGGAGGAACACCAGUGGCGAAGGCGGCUCACUGGCUCGAUACUGACGCUGAGGUGCGAAAGUGUGGGGAGCAAACAGGAUUAGAUACCCUGGUAGUCCACACCGUAAACGAUGAAUGCCAGUCGUCGGCGCGCAUGCGUGUCGGUGACACACCUAACGGAUUAAGCAUUCCGCCUGGGGAGUACGGCCGCAAGGUUAAAACUUAAAUGAAUUGGCGGGG